rnacentral:rRNA from 1 species
AGAGUUGAUCAUGGCUCAGGACGAACGCUGGCGGCGUGCUUAACACAUGCAAGUCGAACGAUGACGAUGGUGCUUGCACCGUCUGAUUAGUGGCGAACGGGUGAGUAACACGUGAGUAACCUGCCCUCCUCUUCGGGAUAACCGCCGGAAACGGUGGCUAAUACCGGAUAUGAAUGUCUGCCGCAUGGUGGGUGUUGGAAAGAUUUAUCGGUGGGGGAUGGACUCGCGGCCUAUCAGUUUGUUGGUGAGGUAAUGGCUCACCAAGGCGAUGACGGGUAGCCGGCCUGAGAGGGCGACCGGCCACACUGGGACUGAGACACGGCCCAGACUCCUACGGGAGGCAGCAGUGGGGAAUAUUGCACAAUGGGCGAAAGCCUGAUGCAGCGACGCCGCGUGGGGGAUGACGGCCUUCGGGUUGUAAACCUCUUUCAGCAGGGAAGAAGCGAGAGUGACGGUACCUGCAGAAGAAGCGCCGGCUAACUACGUGCCAGCCGCGGC